GGAAGUUGAGAAGGGGUUGUUUAACAAGUGCCUCUACCAUCACUCACCUUUUGCUGUCUACGUGCCAUGUCUGUGGGCUGUUUAGCGUUAAAGGGUUUGGUCCAUGGUGUUGCAGCCUCUUCCGUAGCUCCAAACUCCACCACCCUCCAAUCUCCCUGUCCUUUGGAAGCCGCUAACAGCAGAGAUGGGCAGGCUGAGCUCUCUGGUGACUCACAGGAAGACUGCAGGAUGCGAGUGUCUCUGUGCAACAUCAGAGGAGAGGUGAAGACAGUGGCAUUCGGGGAAUACAAAGGAUAUGAAGAGAGUUGUGGGUAUCAGGAUGAAGAAAGAAUCGACACGGAUGGCUCCAGCCUAUCAAAGUCCAGAGAAAUGUUACAUGAAACACAAUAGUGUUCAAAUUAACGUUAUCAUUCUAUUUAUACAUGUAUUUUAUAUGGACUGUGUGAAUGUGGGCACAAUGUAUAAAGGUCCCAUAUUGUGGAAUGUAUGUAGAUUAUGAGUUGAAGGUGCUAUGGAGUCCUUUGGAGUUCCGUGGCGUUAUGACAUCACAACAGUUUUCUUCAGCACGGCCCCCUUGUAGCCAGAAAAAAUCCUAGUACUCAGCACAGAAGGUAUUCAGUUCAUUGGCAGUAACCAACCAAUCAGAACAGAGGUUCACUGAUAUCAAUGAGCCUUAGAGAUGCAGUCACUAAAACAGCCUGUUCAGGAAAGCUCAUGAGAGGCACUAAUGAAUGAUGUAAAAGGAUAGAGAUUGUCUUUGGUACUUAAAACCACACAAAUGUGUUAUGAUAUCAGGACCUAAAAUAAAGCACUGGAAAGGUAUAAUAUGGGACCUUACUGACAAACUGAGGAAGCUUGGGGGGUGCUGCUAUGAACUUGAAGGAGUCCUCUAACCUCAAUGGAUUUGGUGAAUAUCCAAUUAGAUUAUAGUGCUCAUUGUACAUUGUAUACAGUCAACACAAUGCAGUUGUAUCGAAAAUAGCUGUUCCAGUAUAGUGCUCAUUGAAUACUUGACUCAUACUUGUGCAACAGUUUGUAUGCCUUUACUGCUGUUAAGUAGA